rnacentral:tRNA from 13 species
GGGCGGUUGGCGCAGCUGGUUAGCGCGUUUCCUUGACACGGAAGAGGUCGCAGGUUCGAGUCCUGUAUCGCCCACCA